rnacentral:rRNA from 1 species
GGUGAACGCUGGCGGUAGGCCUAACACAUGCAAGUCGAACGGCAGCACAGUAAGAGCUUGCUCUUACGGGUGGCGAGUGGCGGACGGGUGAGGAAUACAUCGGAAUCUACUUUUUCGUGGGGGAUAACGUAGGGAAGCUUACGCUAAUACCGCAUACGACCUACGGGUGAAAGCAGGGGAUCUUCGGACCUUGCGCGAUUGAAUGAGCCGAUGUCGGAUUAGCUAGUUGGCGGGGUAAAGGCCCACCAAGGCGACGAUCCGUAGCUGGUCUGAGAGGAUGAUCAGCCACACUGGAACUGAGACACGGUCCAGACUCCUACGGGAGGCAGCAGUGGGGAAUAUUGGACAAAGGGCGCAAGCCUGAUCCAGCCAUACCGCGUGGGUGAAGAAGGCCUUCGGGUUGUAAAGCCCUUUUGUUGGGAAAGAAAAGCAGCAGGUUAAUACCCCGCUGUUCUGACGGUACCCAAAGAAUAAGCACCGGCUAACUUCGUG